rnacentral:rRNA from 1 species
UACAGAGGUGGCAAGCGUUGUUCGGAAUUACUGGGCGUAAAGGGCGCGUAGGCGGCCUUCUAAGUCAGACGUGAAAUCCCCAGGCUUAACUUGGGAACUGCGUCUGAUACUGGGAGGCUUGAGUGCGGGAGAGGGAUGUGGAAUUCCAGGUGUAGAGGUGAAAUUCGUAGAUAUCGGGAGGAACACCAGUGGCGAAGGCGGCGAUCUGGGAAGAUACUGACGCUGAGGUGCGAAAGCGUGGGGAGCAAACAGG